GGACCUGACUGCUAUCGGAUUGAUACUAAGCCAUGCGAGUCAUUGUAGCAAUACAAGGCAUACGGCUCAGUAACGCGUAGUCAACCUAACCUAUGGACGGGAAUAACCUCGGGAAACUGAGAAUAAUGCCCGAUAGAACAUUAUGCCUGGAAUGGUUUAUGUUCCAAAUGAUUUAUCGCCGUAGGAUGGGACUGCGGCCUAUCAGUUUGUUGGUGAGGUAAUGGCCCACCAAGACUAUUACAGGUACGGGCUCUGAGAGGAGUAGCCCGGAGAUGGGUACUGGGACACGGACCCAGGCCCUAUGGGGCGCAGCAGGCGAGAAAACUUUUGCAAUGUGCGAAAGCACGACAAGGUUAAUCCGAGUGGUUUCUGCUAAAGAAACCUUUUGUCAGUCCUAGAAACACUGAUGAAUAAGGGGUGGGCAAGUUCUGGUGU
rnacentral:rRNA from 1 species